UUGAAAGGGAAACGAUUGAAGUCAGUCGUACUAACGGGGAAUCAACCUUUUGAGGGUGGACUUGUGGGAUUCAGAGAGCCUUUGUUUUUCGCAACCUGCUUUUUUUGGGUGCAGUUUCUCGUAUUGUAGGUCAGCAUCGGUUUCGACCGUUAUAAAAUGACUGGAGGAAUGUAGCUUCGAUCUCGUAUUGAAGUGUUAUAGCCUUUGGUAGAUGUAACGGAUGGGAUCGAGGAUUGCAAUGAAUACCCUUUAUGGGCUAUCCGCCUGGCCUCUGACAUGUCACUCUGGUGCUGAAAGCUUGCUUAUGGUAUUAUAGUGUACGGUCAAAAGGUUAGAACGGAAUAAAUUCGUUAAGGAUGUUGACGUA
rnacentral:rRNA from 1 species